rnacentral:rRNA from 1 species
GUGACAUACCUUACUGUUGCCUCGGCGGAUCAGCCCGCUCCCGGUAAAACGGGACGGCCCGCCAGAGGACCCCUAAACUCUGUUUCUAUAUGUAACUUCUGAGUAAAACCAUAAAUAAAUCAAAACUUUCAACAACGGAUCUCUUGGUUCUGGCAUCGAUGAAGAACGCAGCAAAAUGCGAUAAGUAAUGUGAAUUGCAGAAUUCAGUGAAUCAUCGAAUCUUUGAACGCACAUUGCGCCCGCCAGUAUUCUGGCGGGCAUGCCUGUUCGAGCGUCAUUUCAACCCUCAAGCCCUCGGGUUUGGUGUUGGGGAUCGGCGAGCCUUUCUGGCAAGCCGGCCCCGAAAUCUAGUGGCGGUCUCGCUGCAGCCUCCAUUGCGUAGUAGUAAAACCCUCGCAACUGGAACGCGGCGCGGCCAAGCCGUUAAACCCCCAACUUCUGAAUGUUGACCUCGGAUCAGGUAGGAAUACCCGCUGAACUUAAGCAUAUCAAUAA